rnacentral:rRNA from 1 species
AGUGAACGCUGGCGGUAGGCCUAACACAUGCAAGUCGAACGGCAGCACAGUAAGAGCUUGCUCUUACGGGUGGCGAGUGGCGGACGGGUGAGGAAUACAUCGGAAUCUACUUUUUCGUGGGGGAUAACGUAGGGAAACUUACGCUAAUACCGCAUACGACCUACGGGUGAAAGCAGGGGAUCUUCGGACCUUGCGCGAUUGAAUGAGCCGAUGUCGGAUUAGCUAGUUGGCGGGGUAAAGGCCCACCAAGGCGACGAUCCGUAGCUGGUCGGAGAGGAGGAUCAGCCACACUGGAACUGAGACACGGUCCAGACUCCUACGGGAGGCAGCAGUGGGGAAUAUUGGACAAUGGGCGCAAGCCUGAUCCAGCCAUACCGCGUGGGUGAAGAAGGCCUUCGGUUUGUAAAGCCCUUUUGUUGGGAAAGAAAAGCAGCAGGUUAAUACCCCGCUGUUCUGACGGUACCCAAAGAAUAAGCACCGGCUAACUUCGUG